rnacentral:rRNA from 1 species
GUUUGAUCCUGGCUCAGGAUGAACGCUAGCUACAGGCUUAACACAUGCAAGUCGAGGGGCAGCAUGAACUUAGCUUGCUAAGUUUGAUGGCGACCGGCGCACGGGUGAGUAACACGUAUCCAACCUGCCGAUGACUCGGGGAUAGCCUUUCGAAAGAAAGAUUAAUACCCGAUGGCAUAGUUCUUCCGCAUGGUGGAACUAUUAAAGAAUUUCGGUCAUCGAUGGGGAUGCGUUCCAUUAGGUUGUUGGCGGGGUAACGGCCCACCAAGCCUUCGAUGGAUAGGGGUUCUGAGAGGAAGGUCCCCCACAUUGGAACUGAGACACGGUCCAAACUCCUACGGGAGGCAGCAGUGAGGAAUAUUGGUCAAUGGACGAGAGUCUGAACCAGCCAAGUAGCGUGAAGGAUGACUGCCCUAUGGGUUGUAAACUUCUUUUAUACGGGAAUAAAGUGAGGCACGCGUGCCUUUUUGUAUGUACCGUAUGAAUAAGGAUCGGCUAACUCCGUGCCAGCAGCCGCGGUAAUACGGAGGAUCCGAGCGUUAUCCGGAUUUAUUGGGUUUAAAGGGAGCGUAGGCGGACGCUUAAGUCAGUUGUGAAAGUUUGCGGCUCAACCGUAAAAUUGCAGUUGAUACUGGGUGUCUUGAGUACAGUAGAGGCAGGCGGAAUUCGUGGUGUAGCGGUGAAAUGCUUAGAUAUCACGAAGAACUCCGAUUGCGAAGGCAGCCUGCUGGACUGUAACUGACGCUGAUGCUCGAAAGUGUGGGUAUCAAACAGGAUUAGAUACCCUGGUAGUCCACACAGUAAACGAUGAAUACUCGCUGUUUGCGAUAUACAGUAAGCGGCCAAGCGAAAGCGUUAAGUAUUCCACCUGGGGAGUACGCCGGCAACGGUGAAACUCAAAGGAAUUGACGGGGGCCCGCACAAGCGGAGGAACAUGUGGUUUAA